rnacentral:rRNA from 1 species
CGGCACGGGUGAGUAACACGUAUGCAAUCCACCUGUAACAGGGGGAUAACCCGGAGAAAUCCGGACUAAUACCCCAUAAUAUGGGCGCUCCGCAUGGAGAGUCCAUUAAAGAGAGCAAUCUUGGUUACAGACGAGCAUGCGCUCCAUUAGCCAGUUGGCGGGGUAACGGCCCACCAAGGCGACGAUGGGUAGGGGUUCUGAGAGGAAGGUCCCCCACAUUGGAACUGAGACACGGUCCAA